GGCCGACUAGCUCAGCUGGUUAGAGCAUUGUGCUAAUAUAGAAAGAGGUCCAUCGUGGAUUCACAAUGUCAACGCGAAGGUCUUGGGUUCGAUCCCCACGUUGGCCA